CCUACGGGAGGCUGCAGUGGGGAAUAUUGCUCAAUGGGCGAAACUCUGAAGCAGCGAUGCCGCGUGGAGGAAGAAGGUUUUCGGAUUGUAAACUCCUUUUUUCAGGGACGAUAAUGACGGUACCUGAAGAAAAAGCUCCGGCUAACUACGUGCCAGCAGCCGUGGUAAUACGGAGGGAGCGAGCGUUGUCCGGAGUUACUGGGUGUAAAGGGAGCGUAGGCGGGACGGCAAGUCAGUGGUGAAAACUGAGGGCUCAACUUUCAGACUGCAUUUGAAACUGCUGUUCUUGAGUGAAGUAGAGGUAGGCGGAAUUCCUAGUGUAGCGGUGAAAUGCGUAGAUAUUAGGAGGAACACCGAUUGCGAAGGCGGCUUACUGGGCUUUUACUGACGCUGAGGCUCGAAAGCGUGGGGAUCAAACAGGAUUAGAUACCCUAGUAGUC
rnacentral:rRNA from 1 species